AGUACCCACGUGGCCACCCCCAUCAGACACAAAAGACACCUGUUGCCAGGGCAGUUAGUAACCAGGAGAGCGACUACAGCUGGCAAAUGCCUGGGCUGGACUCCCAUCUGCUGUGUUCUUUCCCCCACCUCCUGGACUUUAGCCCCAAUCUGAAGACACAAAGGGGAUGUAUUUGAAGCAGGGAACGUUAAGUCUUAAACUUCAUGGCCUUAACAACGAAAAGAAGCCUCCCAAUUCCCGGGAUCAUCAGUAAGUGCCACCACAUCAUGGAUUGACAGAACUCGUUUACAGAUCAUCAAGCACUCUGCCAUGUCUAUCAGGAACGGAGGGCAGAAUCCGAUGAGCAGGCAGCAAGGAAUUGAAGCCCCAAUUCAGCUGAACUCUUCCAAUAACCAUAUGACCUUGAAAUGUUUAGUGUCACCCUGCCAAGGAGGAAGAUGGGAUCUGGAGAAGAACCUGGCUCUUGAGUGACUUGUGUAUCUGAUGGACCAAGCUGAAAAGAACAUUCUCUCCUUGGAAGGAAG